rnacentral:snoRNA from 1 species
ACCAGCUCUAAGUCAGCUGACAAGGCAGUCUGUGCCUGGCUCAGUGUUACAGUGCUGGUAGAGGAAGCCUCUGUACCUGGUCUCAGGUGUCCAGGCUCUGUGCUAGAGUCUGCUACUUCUGAGCUGCUGCAGAGCUCAGCCCAUCGAGAGUGACCUGCCCUGAUUCACCAACAGGCCAGGUCUAGUAGAGGGCUGCACAUU